AUGAAGCGCAUAGUGGGGAGCCCGGGGACAUGGAGCGGCAUGGCGCUCCGGGUGUCGCAGUGCGUCUUCGCCGCCGGAUCCGUCUUCGCCAUGUUCUCUGCUUAUGGCUUCUCCAACUACAGCGCCUACUUCUACCUGAACUUUGCUUCGGUGCUGCAGUUUCUGUGGAGUUUGCCCCUUGCUUGUCUGGAUAUCUUUUCUCUCAGGAAUCAAAAGGAUCUUCACGCACCGGCUCGUCUAUUGCUCAUUGUUAUCGUCGACUGGGCCGUGGCGGUUCUCAUGUUCUCAGGAGUUUGUGCCGCCGCCUGCCUGACGAUUUUCUUCAUGAAAGAUGUGAACUUCUGUGAGGGGUUCUCGUGGCUGGCCUGCAAUCAGUUCGCGCUUUCGGUCACUCUGGCAUUCAUCACGUGGUCGCUGCAAGCUGCGUCUUCUUUCUCCGGGUUCUGGCUACUGGUCUCGUUCUUCUAG
rnacentral:rRNA from 1 species